rnacentral:misc_RNA from 1 species
AAGUCGUAACAAGGUUUCCGUAGGUGAACCUGCGGAAGGAUCAUUAACACGUUCCUAACAACGUAUCAAACCAAACGUGAAUUCGUUCUCCCUGACAACAUAAGUUUAGCUGCGCUGAGUGAGUCUGGUGGGUAGUCUUCAUUGAUUACGAUCAUUCAGUGCUAAAGGUUUGACCUUGAGGCUAAGAGCUUGUUGUUAGGCUUACUUUUAUUAUUCCUUCACAUUCCAACCACUCUUGGAAUGCGUUGGGAUGAGACCCAUACCACUAUCACCUUUACUAAACCAUUUGACUAAUACAUGCUUUAUUCUGAAUUACGAGACUUCGGUUUUGUAAGUUCUGAAUAAAACUAAGUUUAUCUUAACUAAGCACAACUCUUAGCAAUGGAUAUCUUGGUUCUC